UAAGGGCGCACGGUGGAUGCCUUGGCACUAGAAGCCGAUGAAGGACGUUACUAACGACGAUAUGCUUUGGGGAGCUGUAAGUAAGCUUUGAUCCAGAGAUUUCCGAAUGGGGAAACCCAGCAUGAGUUAUGUCAUGUUAUCGAUAUGUGAAUACAUAGCAUAUCAGAAGGCACACCCGGAGAACUGAAACAUCUUAGUACCCGGAGGAAGAGAAAGAAAAUUCGAUUCCCUUAGUAGCGGCGAGCGAAACGGGAAGAGCCCAAACCAACAAGCUUGCUUGUUGGGGUUGUAGGACACUCUAUACGGAGUUACAAAGGACGACAUUAGACGAAUCAUCUGGAAAGAUGAAUCAAAGAAGGUAAUAAUCCUGUAGUCGAAAAUGUUGUCUCUCUUGAGUGGAUCCUGAGUACGACGGAGCACGUGAAAUUCCGUCGGAAUCUGGGAGGACCAUCUCCUAAGGCUAAAUACUCUCUAGUGACCGAUAGUGAACCAGUACCGUGAGGGAAAGGUGAAAAGCACCCCGGGAGGGGAGUGAAAUAGAACCUGAAACCGUGUGCUUACAAGUAGUCAGAGCCCGUUAAUGGGUGAUGGCGUGCCU
rnacentral:rRNA from 1 species